GAAUAUUGGACAAUGGGCGAAAUCAUGAUCCAGCCAUGCCGCGUGUGUGAAGAAGGUCUUCGGAUUGUAAAGCACCUGAAGGGGGGAGGAAGGGCAGUAAGCGAAAACCUUGCUGUGUUGACGUUACCGACAGAGCAAGCACCGGCUAACUACGUGCCAGCAGCCACGGCAAUCCAGAGGGUGCAAGCGUUAAUCGGAAUUACUGGGCGUAAAGCGCGCGGAGGUGGUUCGUUAAGUUGGAUGUGAAAUCCCCGGGCUCAACCUUGGAACUGCAUCCAAAACUGGCGGGCUAGAGUAGGGCAGAGGGUGGUGGAAUUUCCUGUGUAGCGGUGAAAUGCGUAGAUAUAUGAAGGAACACCAGUGGCGAAGGCGACCACCUGGGCUCAUACUGACACUGAGGUGCGAAAGCGGGGGGAGCAAAC
rnacentral:rRNA from 1 species